UGGGGAAUAUUGCACAAUGGGCGCAAGCCUGAUGCAGCCAUGCCGCGUGUAUGAAGAAGGCCUUCGGGUUGUAAAGUACUUUCAGUCGGGAGGAAGGUGGUAAGGUUAAUAACCUUAUCAAUUGACGUUACCGACAGAAGAAGCACCGGCUAACUCCGUGCCAGCAGCCGCGGUAAUACGGAGGGUGCAAGCGUUAAUCGGAAUUACUGGGCGUAAAGCGCACGCAGGCGGUUGAUUGAGUCAGAUGUGAAAUCCCCGGGCUUAACCCGGGAAUUGCAUCUGAUACUGGUCAGCUAGAGUCGUGUAGAGGGGGGUAGAAUUCCAGGUGUAGCGGUGACAUGCGUAGAGAUCUGGAGGAAUACCGGUGGCGAAGGCGGCCCCCUGGACAAAGACUGACGCUCAGGUGCGAAAGCGUGGGGAGCAAACAGG
rnacentral:rRNA from 1 species